GUGGGGAAUAUUGGACAAUGGGCGAAAGCCUGAUCCAGCCAUGCCGCGUGUGUGAAGAAGGUCUUCGGAUUGUAAAGCACUUUAAGUUGGGAGGAAGGGUUGUAGAUUAAUACUCUGCAAUUUUGACGUUACCGACAGAAUAAGCACCGGCUAACUUCGUGCCAGCAGCCGCGGUAAUACGAAGGGUGCAAGCGUUAAUCGGAAUUACUGGGCGUAAAGCGCGCGUAGGUGGUUCGUUAAGUUGGAUGUGAAAGCCCCGGGCUCAACCUGGGAACUGCAUCCAAAACUGGCGAGCUAGAGUACGGUAGAGGGUGGUGGAAUUUCCUGUGUAGCGGUGAAAUGCGUAGAUAUAGGAAGGAACACCAGUGGCGAAGGCGACCACCUGGACUGAUACUGACACUGAGGUGCGAAAGCGUGGGGAGCAAACAGGAUUAGAUACCCCGGUAGUCC
rnacentral:rRNA from 1 species